rnacentral:rRNA from 1 species
AGCGAACGCUGGCGGCAGGCUUAACACAUGCAAGUCGAGCGGACCUUUCGGGGUCAGCGGCGGACGGGUGAGUAACGCGUGGGAACGUGCCUUCCGGUUCGGAAUAACCCUGGGAAACUAGGGCUAAUACCGGAUACGCCCUUAUGGGGAAAGGUUUACUGCCGGAAGAUCGGCCCGCGUCUGAUUAGCUAGUUGGUGGGGUAACGGCCUACCAAGGCGACGAUCAGUAGCUGGUCUGAGAGGAUGAUCAGCCACACUGGGACUGAGACACGGCCCAGACUCCUACGGGAGGCAGCAGCGGGGAAUAUUGGACAAUGGGCGCAAGCCUGAUCCAGCCAUGCCGCGUGAGUGAUGAAGGCCUUAGGGUUGUAAAGCUCUUUUAUCCGGGACGAUAAUGACGGUACCGGAGGAAUAAGCCCCGGCUAACUUCGUGCCAGCAGCCGCGGUAA